rnacentral:rRNA from 1 species
AUUGAACGCUGGCGGCAGGCUUAACACAUGCAAGUCGAGCGGGGGAAGGUAGCUUGCUACCGGACCUAGCGGCGGACGGGUGAGUAAUGCUUAGGAAUCUGCCUAUUAGUGGGGGACAACAUCUCGAAAGGGAUGCUAAUACCGCAUACGUCCUACGGGAGAAAGCAGGGGAUCUUCGGACCUUGCGCUAAUAGAUGAGCCGAAGUCGGAUUAGCUAGUUGGUGGGGUAAAGGCCUACCAAGGCGACGAUCUGUAGCGGGUCUGAGAGGAUGAUCCGCCACACUGGGACUGAGAAACGGCCCAGACUCCUACGGGAGGCAGCAGUGGGGAAUAUUGGACAAUGGGGGGAACCCUGAUCCAGCCAUGCCGCGUGUGUGAAGAAGGCCUUAUGGUUGUAAAGCACUUUAAGCGAGGAGGAGGCUACUCUAGUUAAUACCUAGGGAUAGUGGACGUUACUCGCAGAAUAAGCACCGGCUAACUCUGUGCCAGCAGCCGCCGUAA